AACCUUAUGAAUCUGCGCCAAAAUUUCGUCAGAUACCAGAUCACCAGUACCGAUGAAACUCCCAAGACAAGUGAAGCA
rnacentral:pre_miRNA from 1 species